CGUCCUCAUCCCCUCUUCUCUCUCCAUUCACAUUCGCUUCCUCUCACGCCAACGUGUCGAUCUCCCGGCUAAAUCUGCCUUAUCGGCGGCGAGCGGGCCGCCAGCAAGCCGCGGGGGUCGUUCUUGUGGCGGGUAGGCGCGGACAGUGGUGGAUCGAGGCGGGGGUCUGGGGGUGCCGCCGUGCCGCCGCCGGCUCGCCGCGGCCGCGUCCACGAGAUCGGAGCGGUAUGGGCCUAGCGUCACCAACAUCAGCGAGCUCCCACUCACCGGAGCGCUCAUCGCGCUGGCAGUGAUGUCCUACUCCUGCGCCGGAGCUGUGGAGAGAAGAUCGACGGCGCUCCCAAGAUGGUGUGCUCGUCUACGGAUUUUGUGACCUGUUCACUUUAAAGGAAUCUCCCUGGUUACAACCUAACAAUGGUGUUGACUGCAACAAGUAUCCUGGUGAAGCUCACUGUGUACGCAGCAGGUUUAGAUGAUCUUUGCUUUAAAUGUACAUUGUAGUUGUGUAUGAACAUGCCUACUUUUCUGCAUCUUUCUUUAGCUGGAGGUGAUGCUAGUACAUCUGUACAUGGACUUGUAUGUUCUUUUUCAUGCGUGGUUUUAUGUCACUACUUUAUGCAAGGUAAGAUUAGUUA